GCAGAAUGAUCACAAGAGGAAUGAGUUCAUAAAUCCUGCAUUGUCUACAAUGACAACAGUAAGAAGCCGGUAUAUCUGCCCUGGUUGCAUACUUCUAUUAAUUCCUUUAGUCGUGAGUUUACAGAACUGCACUGAAGUCAGACAGAUCAGACAGAACCCAUGAGGGACCAUCAGAUCCAUCAGGGACAGUCAACCACCAUCAACUGUCAUAACAACAAAAACAGAAAGAAACAAUCUCUUACAGUAAUGUUGAGAACAACAAACAGAGUCUGUGAAUACCGCUAUUUUAAUUAAUCCUGGACUAAAAGUUUCUGUAAUGACAACAUCAGAUUAAUAUGGAUUCCGGAAACAGAAGAAAUAUCAUUUCAGCUCAUAAAUCUUUAGAUAAAUAAUUCUGGCAUGUACACAUGUAUUGUGGAAAACUACUUCCCACCUCCUGCAAGCUGUUUGGGACAGAAGAGGAUAUUCAUUCAUGUAACAGGUACGUGUGCAGCACAAUAAUCCCUAAACUGGGAAACCUGUUAAAUUCCACAAGCCUUGAUUAUUUCACAAAUAAUAAGGCAAUGUUGUAUCUCAUUACAGGCUUAUGUGUGCUAUUUUUAUUUCUGGAUGAUUCAUAGAUAAUUUA